rnacentral:tRNA from 1 species
GAAAUAUGUAAAAAAUAAGCUUCUAACUUAAUUUUAAAGCAUUUAAUGUUUAUAUUUCU